rnacentral:rRNA from 1 species
GUGGGGAAUAUUGGACAAUGGGCGAAAGCCUGAUCCAGCCAUGCCGCGUGUGUGAAGAAGGUCUUCGGAUUGUAAAGCACUUUAAGUUGGGAGGAAGGGCAGUAAGUUAAUACCUUGCUGUUUUGACGUUACCGACAGAAUAAGCACCGGCUAACUUCGUGCCAGCAGCCGCGGUAAUACGAAGGGUGCAAGCGUUAAUCGGAAUUACUGGGCGUAAAGCGCGCGUAGGAGGUUUUGUAAGUUGGAGGUGAAAUCCCCGGGCUCAACCUGGGAACUGCCUCCAAAACUGCAUGACUAGAGUACGGUAGAGGGUAGUGGAAUUUCCUGUGUAGCGGUGAAAUGCGUAGAUAUAGGAAGGAACACCAGUGGCGAAGGCGACUACCUGGACUGAUACUGACACUGAGGUGCGAAAGCGUGGGGAGCAAACAGGAUUAGAAACCCGUGUAGUCC